AGGGCGUAUGGGGGAUGCCUAGGCUCUUGGAGGCGAAGAAAGACGUGGUAAGCUGCGAUAAGCCUCGGGGAUUUGCAAACGAGAAUUGAUCCGAGGAUUUCUGAAUGGGACAACCCGGCAGGCAGAAGGCCUGUCACACGAAAGUGGGCCAACCCUCUGAACUGAAACAUCUUAGUAGGAGGAGGAAAAGAAAGAAACAUCGAUUUCCUAAGUAGCGGCGAGCGAACGGGAAACAGCCUAAACCACAAUUGUUACGGCAACUGUGGGGUUGUAGGACUGCAAUAUUCAAAUGACUGUGAACUGGAAUGUUCUGGAAAGUUCAUCCAUAGAGAGUGAAAGACUCGUACAGGCAAGCACGUCAGGCGAUAGCAGUAUCCUGAGUAGGGCGGGACACGAGGAAUCCUGUCUGAAUCCGCCGGGACCACCCGGUAAGGCUAAAUACUCCCAAGAGACCGAUAGUGAACCAGUACCGUGAGGGAAAGGUGAAAAGAACCCCGAACAGGGGAGUGAAAAAGAACCUGAAACCAAGUGCUUACAACCUGUCGGAGCCGCUAAGUGCGGUGACGGCGUGCCUAUUGAAUAAUGAGCCUACGAGUUACUAAUCACUAGCGAGGUUAAGUGCUGGGAAGCACGGAGCCGAAGCGAAAGCGAGUCUGAAAAGGGCGGUUAGUUAGUGGUUGUAGACGCGAAACCUUGCGAUCUACCCUUGAGCAGGAUGAAGGUUGGGUAAAACCAACUGGAGGUCCGCACCAAUAAACGUUGAAAAGUUUCUGGAUGACUUGAGGGUAGGGGUGAAAGGCUAAUCAAGCUGGGAAAUAGCUCGUACUCCCCGAAAUGCCUUUAGGGGCAGCGUUGUAAUAAAGAGUCUACUGGAGGUAGAGCUACUGAUUGGAUGCGGGGGCUUCACCGCCUACCAAAUCCUGACAAACUCCGAAUGCCAGUAGUAUGAUUUACAGCAGUGAGCGACCGGGUGCUAAUGUCCGGUCACAAAAGAGGAACAACUCAGACCAGCAACUAAGGUCCCGAAGAGUAUACUAAGUUGAUCUAACGAUGUUUUGUUGCAGAGACAGCUAGGAUGUUAGCUUGGAAGCAGCUAUUCAUUCAAAGAGUGCGUAACAGCUCACUAGUCGAGCGACAGAGCGUGGAUAAUAAACGGGCAUCAAGCAUAUCACCGAAGUUCUGGACACGAAAGUGUGGUAGGGGAGCAUUCCAUCGACGUCGAAGCCGUGCCGUGAGGCGUGGUGGAGUUUAUGGAAAAGCAAAUGUAGGCAUAAGUAACGACAAUGCGGGAGAGUAACCCGCACACCGCAAGACCAAGGUUUCCUGAUCAACGCUAAUCGGAUCAGGGUUAGUCGGGUCCUAAGGGUAAGCCGAAAGGCGAUCUCGAUGGAUAAUCGGUUAAUAUUCCGAUACUAACAUAUACCUCGAUGGAGAGACGAAGGAACGUAAGUGCCGCCACCUGACGGAAUAGGUGGUUAAAGGAUUUAGGUAUAGGGACGGAUUAAGAGUCGGUUCCUGCUGAAUUCCGACAGUACAGAGAGCCUACGGGCAAUUUGAUAGUGCACCCAAGUCGACUUCCGAGAAAAUCUUCUAAGGCUAGGUAUAUGUCACCCGUACCGUAAACCGACACAGGUGGUCGAGGAGAGUAUCCUAAGGUGCUCGAGUGAAUCACGGUUAAGGAACUAGGCAAAUUAACCCCGUAACUUCGGGAAAAGGGGUCCCACCGCGAGGUGGGCGCAGCGAAGAGGUCCAGGCGACUGUUUAUCAAAAACACAGGGCUCUGCAAAUUCGAAAGAAGACGUAUAGGGCCUGACACCUGCCCGGUGCUGGAAGGUUAAGAGGGGAUGUCAUCGCAAGAGAAGCAUUGAAUCGAAGCCCCAGUAAACGGCGGCCGUAACUAUAACGGUCCUAAGGUAGCGAAAUUCCUUGUCGGGUAAGUUCCGACCUGCACGAAUGGUGUAACGAUCUGGACACUGUCUCAACCGUGAGCUCGGUGAAAUUGUAGUCCCGGUGAUGAUGCCGGGUACCCGCAACGGGACGAAAAGACCCCGUGAACCUUUACUAUAGCUUAACGCUGAAUUUGGGUACACAAUGUGUAGGAUAGGCCGGAGGCUUUGAAGCGGGCACGCCAGUGUUCGUGGAGCCGACGUUGAAAUACGGCCCUUUGUGUAUUUGAGUUCUAACCCUGCGAAGGGGACACCGUUUGGUGGGUAGUUUGACUGGGGUGGUCGCCUCCAAAAGCGUAACGGA
rnacentral:rRNA from 1 species